rnacentral:rRNA from 1 species
ACGUAGGGGGCAAGCGUUAUCCGGAUUUACUGGGUGUAAAGGGAGCGUAGAUGGCAGUGCAAGUCUGAAGUGAAAGCCCGGGGCUCAACCCCGGGACUGCUUUGGAAACUGUGCAGCUAGAGUGUCGGAGAGGCAAGCGGAAUUCCUAGUGUAGCGGUGAAAUGCGUAGAUAUUAGGAGGAACACCAGUGGCGAAGGCGGCUUGCUGGACGAUGACUGACGUUGAGGCUCGAAAGCGUGGGGAGCAAACAG